UUAACAUGAGAGUUUGAUCCUGGCUCAGGACGAACGCUGGCGGCGUGCCUAACACAUGCAAGUCGAGCGAAGUUUAUUUAGCAGCGACUUCGGUCAAAGCUGAUUAAACUUAGCGGCGAACGGGUGAGUAACACGUAGGCAACCUGCCCAUGACACGGGGAUAGCUUCGGGAAACCGGAGGUAAUACCCGAUACCUUUACUUAUUGCAUGAUAAGUAAAGAAAGCGAAUAGCGGUCAUGGAUGGGCCUGCGUCCCAUUAGCUAGUUGGUGAGAUAACAGCCCACCAAGGCGACGAUGGGUAGCCGACCUGAGAGGGUGACCGGCCACACUGGAACUGAGACACGGUCCAGACUCCUACGGGAGGCAGCAGUGGGGAAUCUUGCGCAAUGGGCGAAAGCCUGACGCAGCGACGCCGCGUGAGCGAAGAAGGCCUUCGGGUCGUAAAGCUCAGUCAUUGGGGAUGAGAUGACAGUACCCAAGGAGGAAGCCCCGGCUAACUACGUGCCAGCAGCCGCGGUAAUA
rnacentral:rRNA from 1 species